rnacentral:rRNA from 1 species
GAUGAACGCUGGCGGCGUGCUUAACACAUGCAAGUCGAGCGAAGCACUUUGCUUUGAUUUCUUCGGGAUGAAGAGCUUAGUGACUGAGCGGCGGACGGGUGAGUAACGCGUGGGUAACCUGCCUCAUACAGGGGGAUAACAGUUAGAAAUGACUGCUAAUACCGCAUAAGGCCACAGCACCGCAUGGUGCAGGGGUAAAAACUCCGGUGGUAUGAGAUGGACCCGCGUCUGAUUAGGUAGUUGGCGGGGUAACGGCCCACCAAGCCGACGAUCAGUAGCCGACCUGAGAGGGUGUCCGGCCACAUUGGGACUGAGACACGGCCCAAACUCCUACGGGAGGCAGCAGUGGGGAAUAUUGCACAAUGGGGGAAACCCUGAUGCAGCGACGCCGCGUGAGCGAAGAAGUAUUUCGGUAUGUAAAGCUCUAUCAGCAGGGAAGAAAAUGACGGUACCUGACUAAGAAGCCCCGGCUAACUACGUGCCAGCAGCCGCGGUAA